CAUUGAAACACCAAUUCCCACAUGAUCAUUGAAGUUAAGCAAUGUCGAGCCUGGUCAUUACCUAGAUGGGUGACCAUUUGAGAAUACCAAGUGCUGUAAG